rnacentral:rRNA from 1 species
AGAGCGAACGCUGGCGGCAGGCCUAACACAUGCAAGUCGAACGGACUCUUCGGAGUUAGUGGCGGACGGGUGAGUAACACGUGGGAACGUGCCUUUAGGUUCGGAAUAGCUCCUGGAAACGGGUGGUAAUACCGAAUGUGCCCUUCGGGGGAAAGAUUUAUCGCCUUUAGAGCGGCCCGCGUCUGAUUAGCUUGUUGGUGAGGUAAUGGCUCACCAAGGCUACGAUCGAGUAGCGUGGUCGUAGGAGGAGGUA